rnacentral:rRNA from 1 species
UACGGGGGGGGCAAGCGUUGUUCGGAAUUACUGGGCGUAAAGGGCUCGUAGGCGGCCAACUAAGUCGGACGUGAAAUCCCCAGGCUCAACCUGGGAACUGCGUCCGAUACUGGAUGGCUUGAAUCCGGGAGAGGGAUGCAGAAUUCCAGGUGUAGCGGUGAAAUGCGUAGAUAUCUGGAGGAACACCGGUGGCGAAGGCGGCAUCCUGGACCAACACUGACGCUGAGGAGCGAAAGCGUGGGGAGCGAACAGG